rnacentral:lncRNA from 1 species
GAAUGUUGAUGCAGACAGGUCCUCUCACUGUUGUGAAGAUUAAAUGAGAUAUUCGCAAAACUCUAAACCAGUUUUUCAGUCACCCUAAUGCACUGGGUAAGAACUAGCUCUGCCUGGCUUUGUGUAUGCCAGCCAAUUUCUAGCCAUAUUAUAUUGGAGGUGAUUGCUUCUCCUGCUUCCAGUGCCUGACCUGUAAAAUGGGGUAUCAUUCACCUCACAGAGAUUGUGGUGAACAUGCUUGCCACUCACGGAGUAAGUGCCUAGUAAAUGUUAUCUUUCAGACUUUGAAAGAAUAGCUUGAGGACCAGUGCUUUAGAUGCCACAUAGGCCAUUGAGAACCAUUUGACACUGGACAGAUAGGAAAGGGCUAUUUAAGGUGGAGGUGGCUGAAACAAUGUCAGCUGAGGUUCUUCUCACCUCAGCUGAGAUAAAUGAGAAGAAAGUAGUCAGGUAUAGGUUUACUACUUACUUAAUAACCAAAUUUGUAGGUCUCUUGAUGGCUUUCAUCUGGUCAGUACCCAAUGCAGUAAACAUGUCAAAUCAGAGAUCAGUGGGAAAUUCUUAGCCCAAAAUAUAAAUCAGUGAUCAGGGUUUUUAUAUUGACUUUCCCAUGAUUAGACUAGGGUUUCUUUGGACUCUUAUUUUAAGUGAAAGAAAAUGUGGGGCUGGGAUAUGGCUCAGUGGUAGAGUGCUCGCUUAGUUAAAAAAAAGAAAG